rnacentral:rRNA from 1 species
UACGAAGGAUGCAAGCGUUAUCCGGAUUUAUUGGGUUUAAAGGGAGCGUAGGCGGUCUUAUAAGUCAGUGGUGAAAUCUUGUCGCUUAACGACAAACGUGCCAUUGAUACUGUAGGACUUGAGUACAGAUGCCGUUGGCGGAAUGUGUCAUGUAGCGGUGAAAUGCAUAGAUAUGACACAGAACACCGAUUGCGAAGGCAGCUGACGAAACUGUAAACUG